rnacentral:misc_RNA from 1 species
GGGACUACUAGGGUUUCUAAUCCCGUUUGCUCCCCACGCUUUCGUGCCUUAGUGUCAGGAAUGAGCCAGUUAUCUGCCUACGCCAUCGGUGUUCCUCCCAAUAUCUACGGAUUUCACUCCUACACUGGGAAUUCCAAUAACCUCUCUCAUCCUCUAGCUGAGCAGUUUCCAUAAUGUGUAUUCGGUUGAGCCGAACGCUUUCACUACAGACUUACUCUGCCACCUACGCAACUCUUUACGCCCAGUAAUUCCGGAUAACGCUUGGAUCCUCCGUAUUACCGCGGCGGCUGGCAC